rnacentral:rRNA from 1 species
GGUGAAUGUGCGGCCAGGGGGGGGGGUAAUACGUAGGGGGCGAGCGUUGGUCGGAAUCAGGGGGGGUAAAGCGCACGUAGGGUGUCUUUUAAGUCAGGGGUGAAAUCCUGGAGCUCAACGCCAGAACUGCCUUUGGUACUGAGAGACGUGAGUCCGGGAGGGGUGAGUGGAACUGCGAGUGUAGAGGUGAAAUUCGUAGAUAGUCGCAAGAACACCAGUGGCGAAGGCGGCUCACUGGCCCGGUACUGACGCUGAGGUGCGAAAGCGUGGGGAGCAAACAGGAUUAGAUACCCCAGAGUC